rnacentral:rRNA from 1 species
CAUGCAAGUCGAACGAGAAUCUACUGAAAGAGUUUUCGGACAAUGGAUGUAGAGGAAAGUGGCGGACGGGUGAGUAACGCGUGAGGAACCUGCCUUGAAGAGGGGGACAACAGUUGGAAACGACUGCUAAUACCGCAUGACGCAUAGAGGUCGCAUGAUCUAUAUGCCAAAGAUUUAUCGCUUCAAGAUGGCCUCGCGUCUGAUUAGCUGGUUGGCGGGGUAACGGCCCACCAAGGCGACGAUCAGUAGCCGGACUGAGAGGUUGAACGGCCACAUUGGGACUGAGAUACGGCCCAGACUCCUACGGGAGGCAGCAGUGGGGAACAUUGGGCAAUGGGCGCAAGCCUGACCCAGCAACGCCGCGUGAAGGAAGAAGGCUUUCGGGUUGUAAACUUCUUUUAAGAGGGAAGAGCAGAAGACGGUACCUCUAGAAUAAGCCACGGCUAACUACGUGCCAGCAGCCGCGGUAAUACGUAGGUGGCAAGCGUUGUCCGGAUUUACUGGGUGUAAAGGGCGUGCAGCCGGGUCUGCAAGUCAGAUGUGAAAUCCAUGGGCUCAACCCAUGAACUGCAUUUGAAACUGUAGAUCUUGAGUGUCGGAGGGGCAAUCGGAAUUCCUAGUGUAGCGGUGAAAUGCGUAGAUAUUAGGAGGAACACCAGUGGCGAAGGCGGAUUGCUGGACGAUAACUGACGGUGAGGCGCGAAAGUGUGGGGAGCAAACAGGAUUAGAUACCCUGGUAGUCCACACUGUAAACGAUGAAUACUAGG